GGUGUCGUGGUGUAGUUAGUUUUCACGUCAGUCUAACACACUGAAGGUCUCCGGUUCGAGUCCGGGUUAAAUCA
rnacentral:tRNA from 1 species